GUCCACGCCGUAAACGAUGAGUGCUAGGUGUCGUGGGUUUUGACCCCUGCGGUGCCGUAGCUAACGCAUUAAGCACUCCGCCUGGGAAGUACGGCCGCAAGGCUAAAACUCAAAGGAAUUGACGGGGGCCCGCACAAGCGGUGGAGCAUGUGGUUUAAUUCGACGCAACGCGCAGAACCUUACCCGGGCUGGAAAAGGUAGGAACCUGGUAGAAAUACCGGGGUGCUCGCAAGAGAGCCUGCAUGCAGGUGCUGCAUGGCUGUCGU
rnacentral:rRNA from 1 species